UUGAUGAAAAAAUCCACCAAAACAAGAGCUCAGGAUGAGAUGAAGGACCUGAGACGGAAACAUCCAGGAGAAGUACCGACGGUGUAAGAUCGGUCACAGUCACUCCAGAAGUGUGUGUUCAGCCGUGUGUCCGGCGCACUGAAUCGACUGGACUCUCCAUCAUCCGCUUUAGCCUCUUGCAUUUUGGCGUGAAGCAGCAACAUUAGCAUCUGACGCUAUUGCUUUCAGAAGGAUGUGGAAAUAAAUCAUUGCACUUUUGUAAAUACAAAGAGAGUUGAUUAGUUCCUCUGAACAGCCGCAGAGGUUCCUGUCAGAACUUCAGAGAUCUACUGUCAAGUCAAACAAAAAAAAAGUUAUUAGAGAUGAUGUUACAUACAGUGUCUUCAAUUUAAGAUUUGCCGCAUAAAAUAUUAUAUCAAUAAUCAUAUAAUAUAUUAUAAAAUGUAUCUAUUGUUACUACUGUAAUGCCAUAUUACAUUUUUAUGGCAUCUCCUUCAAAGCUUCCAGAUUCUAUCAUUUUUAAAUAUUUAUUUUAAUAUAGAUUUAUUAAUUAUUAUUUAUUAGUUAAAAUAAACAGAAAAUAGUA